rnacentral:rRNA from 1 species
CAGCAGCCGCGGUAAUACGAGGGGGGCAAGCGUUGUUCGGAAUUACUGGGCGUAAAGCGCACGUAGGCGGAUAUUUAAGUCAGGGGUGAAAUCCCAGAGCUCAACUCUGGAACUGCCUUUGAUACUGGGUAUCUUGAGUAUGGAAGAGGUAAGUGGAAUUGCGAGUGUAGAGGUGAAAUUCGUAGAUAUUCGCAGGAACACCAGUGGCGAAGGCGGCUUACUGGUCCAUUACUGACGCUGAGGUGCGAAAGCGUGGGGAGCAAACAGGAUUAGAUACCCCCGUAGUCCCUGUCUCUUAUAC